rnacentral:tRNA from 1 species
GGCUCCAUAAUGUAGUGGUUAGCACGUCUGCUUUACAUGCAGAAGGUCCUGGGUUUGCACCCCAGGUUGAGCCA